rnacentral:tRNA from 1 species
GGCCCCGUAGCUCAGUUGGAUAGAGCGGCGGUUUCCUAAACCGCAGGCCACAGGUUCGAUUCCUGUCGGGGUCACUU